UGCGGAUUAGUGGAACGGCUCCACGCAAGACUCAUGAUCUUGAAAAGUCGGUUCAACCCCGACAUCCGCUA
rnacentral:tRNA from 1 species